UUAGAACUUCCUAAUUACCACUGGUUGUCAGAAAGUUGGAUUAGAAAACUGAAAGGCAUAAGAGGUAACUUUAUCCAGUAAAGUGAUUUUUCAGCAAGUAAAAUAUUUCCUUGUGUUUAUCCAAAAGUGAGAUUUAGUCUUAAAACUAAAUGGAAGACUAAUAUCUGGAAACUAAAGUAACUGGAAACAGCUGAAAUGCUCGAAAGCACACGUUGAAAACUGGAGACAAAAUUGGGCCGGUUGGCUUUUGCUGCUUCUGAAUGUUUACCUAGUAAAUAUCAGUACUGUCAUGUUUACCGUUUGCAGUUGUGGAAAAUAUGCAGAAAUGUAACCCUCAUUUUGACAGGCUCUUCCAAUCACAGAUCAUGAGGGUAUUGACCAAAUUUAAAAAGCCAUUGCACUUACAUAGCUGUCUUCCUCAAUCAUUCUGUAAUCGAAAUUACUUGGGUCUGUGCUCCCAAGGACCUUUUGGCUC
rnacentral:lncRNA from 1 species